CACUCCACCCAGUUACUCCGCCCACUCCAGUUGUAAGCUACUGGUGGAGGCAAGAACACUUCACACAAUUUCUCCAGAAAUUGUACCUUUUCUAGUUUCUACAUGGACUGCCAUCCAGUUGAAUGGAUUUACUGGACCU